rnacentral:rRNA from 1 species
AUGGAUUCCAUCUUGGCGAAUGAAACUUGGGAGAUAACUGAUCGUCCUUAUGGGUGCAAACCUAUAGGAUGCAAAUGGGUAUUCAAGAAGAAGCUUAGGCCUGAUGGUACUAUUGAAAAGUACAAGGCUCGGCUCGUGGCUAAGGGUUAUACCCAAAAGGAAGGUGAAGACUUCUUUGAUACUUACUCACCUGUGGCUCGACUGACCACUAUUCAAGUUCUACUUUCACUAGCUGCCUCACAUGGUGUUCUCGUUCAUCAAAUGGAUGUUAAGACUGCUUUCCUAAAUGGAGAGUUGGACGAGGAAAUUUAUAUGGAACAACCAGAUGGGUUUGUACUAGAUGGUCAGGAAGGAAAAGUGUGCAAGUUGCUGAAGUCUUUGUAUGGACUCAAGCAAGCACCCAAACAGUGGCAUGAGAAGUUUGAAAGAACUUUAACUGCUGCAGGCUUCGUUAUAAACGAAGCUGAUCAAUGUGUGUACUAUCGCCAUGGUGGGGGCGAAGGAGGGAUUACAUUGCUUCAAUCUCACUAUGUGGAAAAGAUCUUGAGUCGCUUUGGUUAUAGUGACUGCAAGCCCUCUCCAACACCAUAUGAUGCGAGUGUGUUACUUCGAAAUAAUCGAAGAAUUGCUAGAGAUCAAUUGAAAUAUUCUCAGAUUAUUGGCUCGCUUAUGUACUUAGCCAGUGCUACAAGACCUGACAUCUCUUUCACUGUUAGCAAACUGAGUCGGUUUGUCUCAAAACCAGGAGAUGUGCAUUGGAAAACUCUAGAGAGAGUUAUGCGUUAUUUGAAAGGCACUGCAAAUUAUGGAAUUCACUACACUGGGCACCCAAAGGUGCUUGAAGGGUAUAGUGACUCAAAC